CCUUCGCCGUCCCUCGCCGUCCUUCGCCAUCGCACGCCACCGCACCCCAUCUCUCGAAAUCUGCAGACAUCUUGAUUUUUCCCACGCUGUCUGUCAGGUCUCCGCCGCCACUCGACGCCAGGGCGCCGGGCCUUGUGGGCUGUGCUGCACCUCGGACGGCUUCGCACCAGCCAGCGCCCUCUCUCUCCUGCAGCACUCUGAUCUGCACCCCCUGAGGGGCUUCCACUGUCCGCGGGGUGAGAAUGCCCCUGGGAGUGUCACAUGACUGCCGCCCCAUGUGUGUGAGAGGCGUCCUCUGGGAGAGCAUGGAUCCUGAGGUCCCAGGUCAUUGAUAGUGCAGGGAGAGGAACGCUGAAAGAGGUUGUCCCCGUGUUUGGAGGGUCCACCCUAUCCCAUCCGAACCCUGAAGCUUUCACACAACUCCUGUUGCUCUCCUGCCAGCCCUUGAGGAGUCCGGCGCUUGCUUGGCUGCCACAUGAAAGAUUGUCAGCUGACCUCUGUCCUGUGUGCCCAGUGGCCCCAGGUGACGUGUCUUCAAGAAGAGGCUGAGCUGCGGUGCUUGUAAGAGUCAUGUGCUGUUCCUGGGGCUUGGAUGAUGUAGGGGAAGCAAGGUGAAAGUGGUAUCCCGUGGUUCCACGUUCUGUCCUGCUGUGGGGCUGUCCCUCACAUGCUUUCAGUGGCUGUUGCAGAGGAAGAGCCUCCGGAAAUCUGCGUGGGUCUCAGCCUUAGAUCCAAGGACAGUCCAAGGAAGUCCUAAGACCAUGGAGUUGGUGAUCUGGGAUCUGGGUUUGCUGAUAUUUCUCACCGUGAAUCUCUUGGUGGUGUUUGUGGGCACGAGAGGGGCAGAGAAUGGAGAGUGAGGCUACCACAUGAAGCGUCACCAGAGCUGCUCCCUGCUGCCUGCUCAGAGCACCCCGGAUCCACUGUUCAAUCUGCACAAGAUUCGGGGUCCAGACAUGGGAGACUUCAGCUGCCUCAGAGGACCGUGGACAGGGAAGGCCAGCCUCGCAUCCCUCUGUCCAUGCCUGGAAUGACUUUAAUAACCAAGAGUUUUAUUUUUGAAUUUGUAGCUGUCGUUCACUUUUUACCCACCCAUUCAAUAAACCUUACAGAAUUGCUC
rnacentral:lncRNA from 1 species